rnacentral:lncRNA from 1 species
AUGUGUGCUUCUAGGCAAUAUAUAUAUAUGAAAUCUCCACACUCACACAUAUUGGAGAUCUACGUACCUGUGUGCGCAUUUGUUUGUGUGUGCGCUGCAUGUGUGUAUGAAAGCAUUGAUUGUAUGAUGUUGAUUAAAAAGGCCUCCCACCCUGUGGCUUUCCAUCAGAUGCUUUUGUUCUCCUCUUCUAUGCAGGCGGAGAGAGGAGGCCGACUAUCAUGUUUAGACUUUCAUAGCUCUGCAUGUGAAGGACUGUGUGUCUUUCAUCAUGUAUCUUGCUUGGUUUUUGUGUGGCUCCUCAUCUGCUGAGUCUGUCUGCCUCGGAGGACACAGCAAAGCACUCUACUCCUCUCACCCACCUUCUCUCUCUCAAUCCCUUGGAAUAUCAAAAAAUUCUGUCUCCGUGGAAAAGUGAUGCUCAGAGGAGACGGUUGCCCUGGCAACAAGCUCACUUAAGCCAGACCUCUGGAUGAAGGAGUAAGUACAGCUAAACUGACAAAACUCAAGACAGAGUUUAUUACAUGCAUCACUUUGGCACUCUGCAUUAGUCACCAGCAGAACACCUUUUCUUAAAAAAAAAUUGAAUGGAACAGGACACAGGUCUAGUAGAGAGUUUAUAAAAAGUCACAGCAUGGAUGUAAAUGUAUAUAUUUAUUUAUGACAAAUAACGAUUUUUACUAUGGCUGGAACCUGUAUGAUUGCCAAUAUUAUACUGUAAGUCUAAAAUUCAUUUUGCUAUUUUUAUAAUCGUGUGUCACUCAGCUUCAAGUGUAAUUACAUGGUUUCCAUCCAAGAAUUUAAACACACCCCAACUUCUCAUUUUAUUUACGUUCAGCUAAUGCACUCUGAGAAAAAAUGGCACCGUGCCUGUGUUUGAGUGUUAUUUCUGCUCUCAUCUUUCCCGUUGGGUUUUAAAUUCCUCUCUGUCAUCAUUUACCUGCAUUAUAUUCUUCUCAGCCUCAGGCCAUGCAGUUCUGGCCACAACAGCACAAACUCUCGCUGGGAAACUGGACUGCUGACAUAGCUCUCUGACAUCCCAACAGGGGAGUACAAACCCAAUUAGCAAGUGCAGAAUUUCAACCAUAAAAAACAGGCCAAACUAACGUAACAAAACUGCCCCGUAUCACAGCAUUGUGCUUUGGAUGUUAGCGGGAAGCACAGAGGUGCAGCAGAUGGCAAACACAAUUGUGCUAAUUCUUUUUUAGCUCCUUCAGUGCAAGACUUGGCACUGCAUCAACAGAUGUCUGUUUUGGUCUUCCGUCGUCAUUGCAGUCUAAAAAAAACAUAGUAGUCUGUGUGAACCUUUGUCAGUUUUCAUGAACUAAUAAUGACAAUAAGCUGCAUGGAUGUGGCAACAUCCUUCUGUUUGUAAUGGGCUCAGGAUUGUGAACAUUUUGAAGAGUGUUUCGAGGUUAACCAUUAAUGAAGUCCAGAGAGAUGCUGUGGUUGGUUUCCAUGAAAUUAUAUCUGGAAGAACUGACUUAAUGUCCAGAACAGCUCAUUGCAAGGUAGGAAGAACUGACAUGCUGACAAUCAACAGGAUUAUUUUUAGAGACUGACCAAUAUAGGAAUUUUUUUUUUUUUUGCAUCCGAUAUGGAUACGGAUUUAUACUUUUUAAUAUUAUUAUUUAACAAACAUGUACAGUACCAACAAUGUACAAAUAGAAAGUGCUAAAAUGUGUAACAGGUAAAUUCUAUGUAUUCUAUGUAAUAAAUAAAUACAUAAAUACGUACACAAAUAAAUAAAUAAUGCAAACAAAAAAGGCAUAGUCUUCCUGGAACAGACAAUCAGAGUUCCUAUAAGAAAGAAGCCUCCAGAACUUGUCCAAUUUAUUAAGUUCAUGAGUUAUUUACUCAGAUAUCUUUUAUAUUUACCACAGCAAAAUAUUUAUUUAUUUAUUUAUUUGUUUUUUACAGAGGCAAUUUUUAGUUAUUGUUUAUUUGGCACAAUAAUUGUUAAUAAUAAUAAUUGUACAAAAUAAAUAGUAAUAAUAAAUAUUCAUAAUAUAUCAUAAUACAUGUUAGCAAGUGUGUUAUUGUUAUUAUUAUUACCAUAAAUAAUACAAAAUAUAUCACAGUUGUUUUUAAAUCUUUUUUUUUUUUUUUCUCUGUACAGUUUUUGGUAAAAG